CCUGGGGAAGCGCUUUGUCCACAUCAACAAAAAGCGCGUCCUUGAGGGUGCGCUUUGUUGACGUGGACAAAGCGCUCCCCUAGGG
rfam:Gossypium arboreum cultivar AKA8401 contig_9625_1, whole genome shotgun sequence.